rnacentral:rRNA from 1 species
UACGUAGGUGGCAAGCAUUGUCCGGAUUUACUGGGCGUAAAGAGCGCGCAGGCGGUCGUUCAAGUCGCGUGUGAAAGCCCCCGGCUCAACUGGGGAGGGUCACGCGAUACUGAUCGACUCGAAGGCAGGAGAGGGUAGUGGAAUUCCCGGUGUAGUGGUGAAAUGCGUAGAUAUCGGGAGGAACACCAGUGGCGAAGGCGGAUCUCUGGGCCUUACCUGACGCUCAGGCGCGAAAGCUAGGGGAGCGAACAGG